CUGCUGCCUUCCGUAGGAGUUUGGGCCGUGUCCCAGUCCCAAUGUGGCCGGUCGCCCUCUCAGGUCGGCUACUGAUCGUCGGCUUGGUAGGCUUCUACCCCACCAACUACCUAAUCAGACGCGGGCCCAUCUUACACCACCUCAGUUUUUACCUCUGUACCAUGCGGUACUGGGGUCUUAUGCGGUAUUAGCAAUCAUUUCUAAUUGUUAUCCCCCUGUGUAAGGCAGGUUGCCCACGCGUUACUCACCCGUCCGCCGCUAAGUCACCCU
rnacentral:rRNA from 1 species